GAUGAACGCUAGCGGCAGGCCUAAUACAUGCAAGUCGAACGAGAUUAAGAGGCUUGCUUCUUAUGAAAGUGGCGCACGGGUGCGUAACGCGUAUGCAACCUACCUUAAUCAGGGGGAUAGCCCGAAGAAAUUCGGAUUAAGACCGCGUAAAAACACAGGAUAGCAUUAUCCAAUGUUCAAAUAUUUAUAGGAUUAAGAUGGGCAUGCGUGUCAUUAGCUAGUUGGCGGGGUAACGGCCCACCAAGGCGACGAUGACUAGGGGAUCUGAGAGGAUGACCCCCCACACUGGUACUGAGACACGGACCAGACUCCUACGGGAGGCAGCAGUAAGGAAUAUUGGUCAAUGGAGGGAACUCUGAACCAGCCAUGCCGCGUGCAGGAAGACAGCCCUCUGGGUCGUAAACUGCUUUUAUUCGGGAAUAAACCUUUCUACGUGUAGGAAGCUGAAUGUACCGAAGGAAUAAGGAUCGGCUAACUCCGUG
rnacentral:rRNA from 1 species